rnacentral:rRNA from 1 species
GCCAAGUAGCGUGAAGGAUGACUGCCCUAUGGGUUGUAAACUUCUUUUAUAUGGGAAUAAAGUGCAGUAUGUAUACUGCUUUGCAUGUACCUUAUGAAUAAGGAUCGGCUAACUCCGUGCCAGCAGCCGCGGUAAUACGGAGGAUCCGAGCGUUAUCCGGAUUUAUUGGGUUUAAAGGGAGCGUAGGCGGGUUGUUAAGUCAGUUGUGAAAGUUUGCGGCUCAACCGUAAAAUUGCAGUUGAUACUGGCAUCCUUGAGUACAGUAGAGGUAGGCGGAAUUCGUGGUGUAGCGGUGAAAUGCUUAGAUAUCACGAAGAACUCCGAUUGCGAAGGCAGCCUGCUGGACUGUAACUGACGCUGAUGCUCGAAAGUGUGGGUAUCAAACAGGAUUAGAUACCCUGGUAGUCCACACAGUAAACGAUGAAUACUCGCUGUUUGCGAU